rnacentral:rRNA from 1 species
AGAGUUUGAUCAUGGCUCAGGACGAACGCUGGCGGCGUGCUUAACACAUGCAAGUCAAGGGGGCCCAGCAAUGGGCAACCGGCGAACGGGUGCGUAACACGUGAGCAACCUACCGAACUGUGGGGGAUAGCCGGCCUAACGGCCGAGUAAUACCGCAUACGCUUUCAUUGAGGCAUUUCAGUGAAAGGAAACCUACGGGACAGAUCGAGGGGCUCGCGGCCUAUCAGCUAGUUGGCGAGGUAACGGCUCACCAAGGCUACGACGGGUAGCUGGUCUGAGAGGAUGGCCAGCCACAUUGGGACUGAGAUACGGCCCAGACUCCUACGGGAGGCAGCAGUGGGGAAUCUUGCGCAAUGGCCUAACGGCUGACGCAGCGACGCCGCGUGUGGGAUGAAGCUCUUCGGAGUGUAAACCACUGUUGCCCGGGACGAAUAGCUCGAUUAAUCGAGCCUGACGGUACCGGGUGAGGAAGCACCGGCUAACUCCGUGCCAGCAGCCGCGGUAAUACGGGGGGUGCGAGCGUUGUCCGGAAUCACUGGGCGUAAAGGGCGCGUAGGUGGUUUGAUAAGGGUGUGGUGAAAGUCCGGGGCUCAACCCCGGAUCUGCCGUGCCGACUGUCAAACUCGAGGGCUGUGGAGGCAGACGGAAUUCCGGGUGUAGCGGUGGAAUGCGUAGAGAUCCGGAGGAAGACCGGUGGCGAAGGCGGUCUGCUGGGCAGUUUCUGACACUGAUGCGCGACAGCGUGGGGAGCAAACAGGAUUAGAUACCCUAGUAGUCC